AGCGCAGGCGGGAAGGUAAGUCUAUCUUAAAAGUGCGGGGCUCAACCCCGUGAGGGGAUAGAAACUAUUUUCCUUGGGUGCAGGAGAGGAAGGCGGAAUUCCUAGUGUAGCGGUGAAAUGCGUAGAUAUUAGGAGGAACACCAGUGGCGAAGGCGGCUUUCUGGACUGUAACUGACGCUGAGGCUCGAAAGCCAGGGGAGCGAACG
rnacentral:rRNA from 1 species